UACGUAGGUGGCAAGCGUUGUUCGGAAUUACUGGGCGUAAAGGGCGCGUAGGCGGCCAUCUAAGUCAGACGUGAAAUCCCUCGGCUCAACCGAGGAACUGCGUCUGAUACUGGAAGGCUUGAAUCCGGGAGAGGGAUGUGGAAUUCCAGGUGUAGCGGUGAAAUGCGUAGAUAUCUGGAGGAACACCGGUGGCGAAGGCGGCAUCCUGGACCGGUAUUGACGCUGAGGCGCGAAAGCUAGGGGAGCAAACGGG
rnacentral:rRNA from 1 species